rnacentral:tRNA from 1 species
CAGGAUGUGGCUAAAUAGUUAAAGCAUCUCACUUACACCGAGAAGAUACCCGUGCAAAUUGGGUCAUUCUGA